GGGCCCAUCACCCGGCAGGGGACCUCUGAGAAUGGCCACAUGGGUCAAAACUGCAGAGGAUUUUACAAAAUUGAGACUACCCUUCUGAUUUUACCAGAAAAGGGGUUUCCUGCAGAAAGGCAAAUAACAGAGAACAGCAAAGCAGGAAAAAAAAACUGUGCCCAGCUGGGGACCACAUUCACACCUUUGCUUCAGCAGCUGCUGGUGCUUCCCUGCACCAGUGCUGGGCUGCAUGCAUGGAUGGCACAGACCCUCCAUAUCAAGCAGUGCCACCCAGGAGAUUUACCUACCAAAGGAAUAAAGGCUUGAACAAGGAAUAAUUUCCAUCCCCCAUCAGCUGCCCUCCCAGACCUCUCAUCCUAAGCAUGCCAAGGCAGACUAAAAAUCAGGCCUGGGCCAGGGAUUUGAGCAUGGCUGGAAAAUGCCCAAAGCCCCCGGCAGCAUGGAUACAUCCAAGGCAGAGCCAACCAAAAAAAAGCCUUCUCACCCUUUUCCAUCUCCCACUGCCCCAAGGCAGCCCCACGAGCCUGGGUCAUCGCUAGGCAGUCUGCUCUGACAGGGCUCAGCCUUCCUGUAAUAAAACCUGAAUUAAAAUGUAUGCCAGCUGUCAGGUCUCAGCUCAGCUCGGCGGAUGGGCAGAGCUGAGGAGCAGGGAGAGGUUCCUGUCCCAGGGUCCGGGUGCAGAAGCGUCAGCCCCACGGACACGCGCGGCUGCCUCCCCGCAGGCACAGAGGGGACGGGAUUUCCCUCGAGGAGCCCCGCAGAUGGUGUUUGUUUGCUCAGCCACGGUAGAAAAGGAAAAUAUUUGGUGCAAUCUGCUAGCAGACAGAGACAGACAUAUGGUCGGUGCGAGGCGAGCGUGGAUGCUCAGGAAAACGCAGUCAGAGCUCUGCAGAGGCUUUUAGAUGUUGGAUUGCCCCUGAGUCGAGUGGGAUACAAGUCCAGGGAAACCUCUGAAGAACCUGGUGCCAACUCACUGUGUCAUCACAAGACAGAUUUUUCUGGGCUGCAGCUUGACCUGAACCUUUGGAAAUCUCUCACGUGCGGAGCUCCCAGAGCGUUUUCCUGACUUGCUUACUAACUGGAGGAAGCUUAAGGAACAAAAACCAUGGCACAUCUCUAUGUGUUUACAAGUAAAGCAAGCCUGGAGCUGCCCCUGCCUGGCUGCUCAGGUACGGCGUCGAUUUCCCGAGUUCCUGGAGCAGAACGGAUUCAGCAGCUCCACAGCCUGCUUUGCAGUGAUGGAUGGGAAUGAUUAUCAUUGUUAAUCCCACUAAGCCUACGGUCUCAACUUUUGAGGGUGCUUAAAGGAACACUUGAGGAGGAGCAUGUGAAGAUGUGUGGAGCACCUGCUCCUGUACCCCUGUCAGUACUGACCUGAGGGCACCAUCUGGUGCAAGGAUUUUAAACAGGAAUAAUUCAGAGCAGCCAGACUGUAGGCUUUGACAGGGACUAAUGCUCCUAACGAGGACCACACUCCUGAGUCACACCCACUGGCUGCUUUGGAGGUGCUGUUAUGCUCAAGGCUACAGGUGGGAAGGAAUAAUCCAGCUGGGUCUGGUUAUGGAGAGGCAGAUCAUCCCGCUUCGUCCUCCCUGUCACACACUGGAUGUGCCUCCAUUUGUCUCUGGCUGUGAAACAGCAGCACACACUGAGGCAGAGGGCUGGGUAAAACCCCUUCAGCUGGCAGCUGGGACACAGAGAGGAGAGGGCUGGGAGCUCACCCUGACCUGCUAAGGGAAGCAAGAGUCUCGAUGAAAACGGUGUCUUCACUUGGAUUUUAUCUCAUGUGUGUUACCAUAAAUUCUGUCAUGCCCUUCCUGUUUCUUUCUUUGGAGUUAGUGAAGACCUGAGCUCUUCCUAAGAUACACUUCAUUUCCACCCAACAUGCUGAUCUACUGAAAGACUUGCUGCUUAAUCUGGAGGCUGGGGUAGAGGGUGGGAUUGUUGCUUUGAGCCUCCCAGCUUGUGGGAGCACUGCCAUUUCCUGCUCUCGCCUCCCAGCACGGGGCCCUCACCACUGCUCUCCCUGGCAAUGGCCUGUUUCCAGCGGUGUCUUCCAGCAGCAAUCAGCACUGAACUGGGGGCUGCAUGCCCAGGAACCAAGCACUGGGGAGCAGUGCCUGGUUUCAAGCGUUGCUCCGUGGGUUGCAAGCACAAGUAUCUGUUUCCUCCAUCCUGAGCUCCAUGUGGCCGCUGUAACUCUCCCAUUUUGGCACGUGCCAGCGUGCGGGUGCUGCAGGAUUGUAACAUGGUGUGGGUCAGGCUCCGGUCCCAAAAUACUGAUACCCCUUGGGGUGGUUUUGUGCAGCUUCCCCCCUGCCACAGAUGUUUUGAGGAGCCUGGUCUGGCCCAAAAUUGGCUGCACUCCCUCUGCUGCUCCCCAGCACCGUGGGGCUGAUCGUCCUCCCUCAUUACCAGCACCAUGGAUGCAAGUGGUGGGACGAACAGAGCCAACAGCACACGCUGGCUGUGCCCCUUACUAAUGUUGUUCUUACUAUUUUAGUGCCAUCUUCCUUCUUUCCACCCUCUCCCUGAACAACUAAAUUAAUUAGAGUGGGUUUUUUUUAUUUAAAUACUGUCAUGGAAUAAUAAUCUUAGUGAAUUCAAUUUUUGUUUUGUCAUUCCCCACUGCUUCUUUUCUCUGUUGUGCUCUCUUUUAAUAUGCUGCUGAUACUUUGUUAUAGCUAUGCAAGAUCACAGCUGUUGUCUGAAAAAAAAAGAGAGUAAAAUCAUGUUAUGUGCUGUUGCCAUCCAAAACCCAUUUUUCUUCCUCCAGCAGCUCACAAAAUAACCCUUCCCCUAUUAAGUGCAGAGGCAUACAUUUUUCUUGGCUUGUAAAAAGCUAGAAAGUCUCAUAGCAGAUUCAGUGAAGCUGCAGCAGUGGAAGGAAGUCAAAGCUCCUACAACAGGCUGGGGCACAUCCUGAGCCUAUUACGAGCUUGGAUUCUGCAAAUUCUGGAUCCGAGCAGUGACUCCACAGAGGCAGCGGGUCUGUGGGCACCACCAGCUCCUGUGCUUUACUAGCCACUGAGUUUUUGUUUGUAAACAUGUUUUCUGAAAGGACCCAGUAACAAAACCACUCCUGCAGCUCUCAUGAAAGGACAAAAAAAAAAAUCCCAUUAGACCCUGAAUUUAUAUUUACAGUAUUUUGCUUAACAUUGGCCCUUCUGGACAGCUUUCCUCGGCCCUGCCAGGCCCUCUCUGACCCUUUGAAGUCAGCCCUCGGUGGUCACUGGCAUAGAGACCAAAGCUAAGCAAGGAUCAAGCUGUAGAAGCACCUGCUCUCAUCAACAGCACAAAGCCGUAAAUGAAGGAGAGCCAGGAUGGAGAUUUGAGUCGUUGUCUCCAAGUCCACAGCUCCAAUUACAAAACUGACUUCAAUCAGCCUCACAAUGCACACAACCAGUUCUGAAAUUCCUCCUUGACUCCCUGACCCUGUUCAGCACCUGCACUGCCUACACCUCGUGUCUGUAACGUGUCAGAGCAGUUCUAAAUGAAGCUCGGUUGAGGCCCGUGCCGUUCCAUUUAACACACGGGGGCUGUGUGACCGCUCUGGCAGGGCUUGCCCCAGCACUGCUGCCUCUAACAAGGGUUAUGAGAGUGGCUGAGGUGAAAUUGCAUCAAAGGAGUGAGACGAAAAGCUUGUUUUCCCCCCGGACUGCAGCUCCUGGAGAGGAGCCGUGCCGUGGUACACAGAGCACUGCUGGGUCAGUGUGUUCAGCAGUCUUACCUCCCUGUCCAGGCCAGAGGGAGGAGGGAGCUCGUUGGCUGCUUGGGUUUUUUGGAAAGCAGAGUUAUGUAAAGCAAAAAUUUCUGGGGGGAUCCAGAGAGGACUGACAAGGCACCUGCCGUGACACCCACAGGGGAAGAUGACGGUGAGUGCUAAAGACAGGGGAGUGACCCCGUCCUUCCCAGGCCGUGCACAGCCUGCUGACAACCCCUCAGACACAUCCUCAGCAGCUGCCUUUUAGUCCAGGCUCUGCAUUCCUGGCCACCCCUGGAACCACAACGGGCCCUGCUCAGGGAGACAAGAGGUGAUGAGAAGCCUGCAGCUGGUGUGCAGAGGCAGGAUAGUAUCAGCUUGCAUGUGUUUUGCCUCGGAAUUGAGGCUGGAGCAUGUCCCACACCUGAAAGGGACAGGAUGAAUCUGAGGCUCUGCAGGGAACAGGGAUGUUUGUAAUGUGGCACAAAAGGUAAUUCAGCCCCUGGUGACGUGAUAUACAACCACCUUGCCAGAUGCUUCAACCCCCCUAAACAGUUGUAAGUGCUUCUCCAUGGGCCUCAGUUAAAUUCCCUCCAGGAUGUAAACUCGGGCUUGUUUGGACCAAUACCUACAGACUUGAUUGCAACAGCAGAUGGUUUAUUUCUACCUGCAAGUGAGAACAGGGAGUGUAUAUCAUGGCCCUGACACAUUUCACACGGAGCAGAUGUUUCUAUUAAUGCCAGAAUUGGGUGGAAAUUCAAAGGAUGCUUUUUGCUUUUUUUUCCCUCCUCAAAACUAUUUUACUCAAUUAAAUUGCAACUUGCUGAAGUAUUCCAAUGAAUCACUUCCCUUUUUUUUUUUUUGUUUGAUUAGUAGGCUCUAAAGGGACAAAAGAAUAGCUUUGUAUCAGUCUCCCUCAAUUACAUGUAAAGUACAUCUGGACAGAGUCUGAAGAUCCAUCUUUCACUGGCAGUUGCAAAGCCAUCGACAUAAUAAAAUAAUACUCUGAUUGGUAUUACAAGGCUGCAUUUAAAUCAUUGGCAUUCAUGCUCCGAGUCCUUUGCAGGGAGCACAAGCCCUCCAUUAGGGAAAAGCUUAAUUUUAUACUGUGAUCUGUGUAAGAUAUGCAAUGAAAAUGAGAAAAAAGAGCCUUUGCAGAGCUGGAGACAUAAUAAUAGAAGCUACAAUGGAUGUCUGGGCAGCUUUUUCAGUUACUUAUAAACUGCAGGUGUCA